rnacentral:SRP_RNA from 1 species
CUAUGCUACACGGGGAGCCAGCGGUGCCCUGUAACCUGCAAACCGCUAUAGCAGGGUGGAUGCCAGGCAGCGGGUCAUGUUUUUGGUUGUCCGGCUAUGAUGUGCAGCGAUGACACUUUCCAUUUUGCGCAAUAAAAGGUUGGUAAACCCCGUCAGGCCCGGAAGGGAGCAGCGGUAGCCGGUUCUUUUAUGUGCCGCAAAAUACCCGAAAGCGAGCCGGCAGUCAUAGUGGGGUGAUUAAAAACCGAUUCAAUGCCUGGUGCAUAG